CUUUGCGUCACUAACAUAUAAUCGUACGCAAAAGACACGUGGAAUUGAACACAGAAGUGUUAACAUAGCCUGCUCAAUCAAGUAUUUUGGUGAAGAAUCUCCUUUUCCUGAAAAGCAAAUAUUUACUUGACAUAUUCCUUACGCUACGCAUCAAUUUUUUUUGAAUGCUAAUGAGACUGAAAACAUUCCGAUUCACUUAAUUUCUUCGAAUGAAUAUGACUUAGUUUCUGUGUAGAGAGAAAACGCGUGGUGGUUUCACUGACAACUAGAAGCGAGUGAUGUCACGUCUUGGCCGCCACGGUGUCGGCUCAAGCCCCGCAUGCCAAGAAUCAAGUGUGGCUAGAGAGGCCUCCAGUUCUAACGGAUUUGUAAAGGACUUUUUUCGCGUUGUCAACAAUGGCCACCUAGGGACAAGCCAAAAGAUGACAAAACCUGCAGAUAGUCGUCUCGUGCUCCUGGGAAACCCUGGUGUCGGGAAGUCCGCUCUUGUAGUGAGGUUUAUAACCAAGCGCUUCAUCUGGGAGUACGAUCCAACAUUGGAAUGUACUUACCGACAUACAACAAUGGUGGACGAUGAAAACGUCAGUAUGGAGAUUUUAGACACCGCUGGUAAGGGAGAAAGUAUCCACCAAGAGGGCAACAUCAACUGGGGAGAAGGCUUUCUACUCGUGUACAGCACGACCGACAGGGAGAGUUUCGAGGAUAUUGUCAAUCUGCAUCAGCAUAUAGCUUCUGUAAAAAAAACACAAAACUUCUCUUGCGUGCUAGUCGGUAACAAGAACGACCUCACACACGAGCGUAAGGUCGGGCAGGAAGAAGCCGAGCAGCUUGCCGUUGAUCUGUCGUGUUGUUUCUUCGAAUGCAGUGCCUGUGACGGAGGCGAGGCUGUCGACGAAUCCUUCAAGGAGCUACAUCGGGAUGUAGUACGGAGAAGAAUGGUAAACAGCAUGAGAAGACGACGAAGCUCGGCCCAACAGGUGAAGCAAGUACUCAACAAAAUGUUCACGAAAAUUAACUCCUAAACCAAAAAGUAAAUGAAUUAAACAAAAGGACAGGAAUAUGUCUGAGAAGGGUAUCGCUCAUUUGAGGCAUCAUGGGAAAUUUUCGAGAUGGUUCCUGGCAGUUUCAUGCGUUCGUUUGUUAAAUAAAUAUCAGAUACUGGAGAAAAAAUGAUUAAAGGAAUCAUUGAAGUCUGCUUGCGUCUUGGACUUUAAAAAGGCGCGUAUUGAUAUUUUAUAAGAAAGGAAACGAUGUGAAUUACGUGCUCAUUUACAAAUUCAAGAAGUAAUACUUAUACUUUUGAACAGCUAUCAAUGUCUUCUCAAGCGUCCAAACCAAAUAUUUUUCUUGAGUUUUUUUUUUCCCUCUUUCGCUUCCGAAACGUAAACAACAAAUUAGUCUUACUUUCAGAUGAGCUGAACUGGAAAAUAAAAUUCAUUUAGAAAAGAAAAAUGAGUUAUUUACCAGCUAUUCAGUAGCAAAAAAAAUUAAACAUUAUGAUAUAUAAAAAAAUUUCUUAUAUAUAUAAACAAUAUAGUAUGUAUUGUACCUUACCUUUACAACAGCACAUUGCUUUCCAUACAAAAUAAUAAAAAACUCUAAGCUUAUAAAAACAACAAAGCAUAUUAUUAAUGUCACUCUACCCACAAAAGACGUGAACACAGCUGUAACAAAAAGGAUGAAACAAACUAUUUAAUUUUUUUUACUCAGGUUGUGAAGAAAAUAAUUAAGUAAAUUAUUUAUUAGAGAGUAGCGUUCUGUAAGUCCAGUUUACGAAAGAUGUAAGUCACAAGAUGAUGAGCUUAGCCCAACAAGUGAUCCCUAUCAUUACCUAUGUAUAUUGUGAACGUUUCGAUAUUUGCAGAUGACCCCUUUCCCUAUAUAUUGUGAAAUAUGUGUUUAAUUUUUAAUUUCAGAAAGUAAAAAUAGCAUGUUCUUAUUUUUACCUGUAAGAAAAUGUUGCCGUAAGUAUAUUUGUUGUAAAUUGUGAUAAAUAGUGUAUUUGUCAGAGUUCUGUUAUCCUUCAAUUGUGGUAUACUGCUCUUGUCUAGUAGUUUUUGUAGCUGGAUUCAUCAGUCACUUUGUCAAGUCGGUGGAUUUUCUGAGGACAGAACUGACGGUUAGAAUCGUUAUCCGUGAAUAGUUGGACACUGGACAAAGUGGUGUGGAUAAAAAUUUAGGAAAAGCAAUCUGUAUAUAAGAAAAUCUACACAAUUGCUAUGAACAGCUACAGUAUGGUCCCGGAAAUUUCAUUUGUGGAAACUGAGAACACUGCUGCUACGAAGUAAACUGAUGACUAGCACCAAGUACUUCUUCAAAUACAUCAUAUCCAGAAAGCCGUUGGAGCUGGCAAUGGAAGACUGUUUACAAACGUCACUGUGAGAUCCAACCAA
rnacentral:misc_RNA from 1 species